GCAUGCGCCCCGUUCAUUCGUGCCCAGGUGUGAGUGGGCACGUAGACGCGGCCUGGGAACGCGCAGUCUGAUGGCUUUGUGACCUGGGUCUAAGUGACCAGCUGCACGCACAUCCCCACGUCACCCAGGGACUUCCUCCCGAGGGCAAGGCAGUUUUCUGGUGUCAAGUCACUGCUGUCUUUCCGCCUAAAGCUCACCGCACCUCCAGGGAGGAAGCCCACGGGUCCUCGGGGUGCCAUCUCCCCUCUCUACACCCCAGACGCUGCCCAUUAGCUGGCUGAGCUUCAUGUCCGGCAUUUUAAAAGAGAAAACCCCAGGAAAAUGCUUUCUGCCUGGCCGUCUCCCUAUCACUACAACCCAAGCAGGGUGUCUCACAUAACUCGCAGUGAGACACAAGGAGCACCUCCGGAGCAUCUUCCCUUCCAGCUGUUACUUCAUGAACGGAACCUGAGAUGUACCCUAACUUCCUAAGUUAGGAGCCUUCCUCCAGGAGCACAGCCCUGACCUGUCACUGCCCCGUGCUCACUUGAGACUUGGAACCCUGAACGUCUGAACACACACCCAUCUGCACCUGCAGACACCUCUGUGAUGCAGUCUUGUCUUUCACAGCAGCUUGAAAAGCCUUUGUGAAGUCCCCUUCGUUGUCUCUACCCUUGAGAACGUGAGCUGCUGGCGACCUGGCUUUCUGCCUGUCUUGUUGACAUUUCUGUAGCACCCAGGCACUGCAAAGACUCUAGAUGAUCAGUACUGGAUAAGACUGAAAAUAUUCUCUGAUAUUCUUUUGUUCUUGUAGUGACCAAAACCCAUUUACCAUCAACACAUCAGGACAAUUUACUUUCUCCAUUUUUCCUCAUUAAGGACCAAAUGUUUGCAUUCCCUAAAACUCUGUACGCUGAAAUCUCCUCCCCGAUGUGAUGGCAUUAGGAAGUGGGGACUUUGGGAGGGAUUUAGGUCAUGAAAGUGGCCCCGGGAAUGGGAUUGGUGCCCUUGUAAGAAGCAGCCAGAGCAAAUAGCUCAGAGUCUUCGUGUGAGAAUGCACGAAGCCAGCAGUCUGCAGCCAGGAGAGAGCCCUCACCAGGUGCCACUCGGCCACCAUUUCAGCUCCUAGCCUCCAGAACGGUGAGAAAUAAACUCGUGUUCUCUCUAAGCCGCCUAGUGCUUCGUUGUAGCAGCC